UACGUAGGUGACAAGCGUUGUCCGGAUUUACUGGGCGUAAAGAGCGCGCAGGCGGUCGUUCAAGUCGAGUGUGAAAGCCCCCGGCUCAACUGGGGAGGGUCACUCGAUACUGAUCGACUCGAAGGCAGGAGAGGGAAGUGGAAUUCCCGGUGUAGUGGUGAAAUGCGUAGAUAUCGGGAGGAACACCGGUGGCGAAGGCGGCAUCCUGGACCGGUAUUGACGCUGAGGCGCGAAAGCCAGGGGAGCAAACGGG
rnacentral:rRNA from 1 species